rnacentral:tRNA from 1 species
GAUUCUUGCUCGCUUUGGCAGAGCAUCCCGAUUUUAUCGAGAGGGUCCUGGGUUCGAGUCCCAGCGGGAUCA